GUGCUCUCUUUGGCAGCCCAUAUACUAAAAUUGGAAUAGUACAGAGAAGAUUAGCAUGGUCCUGAGCAAGGAUGAAACACAAAUUCAUGAAGCAUUCCAUAUUUUU
ensembl:snRNA Gm25253 U6 spliceosomal RNA